GAAAUGAGCAAAAACAGGUUAAAGGAGAAUAUUUAUAAAGAAUGGAUUCUCAGAUGCUUAAUGUUUUUCACUGUGGUUGUAUAAAUUCCCAGGGCAGAUUUGCCUCCUGUUGCUGUAACUGAAUACUGAAAUUGGGGCUGCUGCUUGGCAUGGUGAGAUUUCAUGGCACCAAAUCUUGGGCAGAGUAUCAUGACAGGCUUACAAGGUUACACUGGUCAGAGGGCAGAGCUCCUGUGCCAUAUCCUGGGCCAAAUGCCGGGCCUUCCCUUCCCGAUCUGCACUCACACCUGGAGAGUGUGAGGCUCUCAUUGACGUGGUAUGCGCUGUUUCCAGAACCCAGAAAGGACCACGAAACGUUGCCUCUUCUUUCCUGGUGGAGCAGGAACAGACAUCAUGGUCAACAAAAAGACAGAGCAGAAGGUCCUGGAGGCCAGGAGGCUGAGCAGGGAAACAGGGCCAGAGAGGGAAAGGUGGGUCUUCUGGUCCACUGGGCAUUCCUUCACCGGGUGGGCUGAUGGAUCAGGAUGGACAGCCAAGUACUUAGGUGCUGCAGUUCCCUGUGGCUGGAGGAAAGUCUCUUGUGUCAAAACCCCAGUUGCUUGCCAGUAGCUCACUUCCUGUCUCUGUCAUUCUCCCUCCUCCACCGACAGGUUCCAGACUCCCCAAGCAGGCAAAAUGGAGUCACAUUCUAGUAUGUGUCUGCAUCUGCAGAAAUCCAACCUCACACUGUUGAGCAUGUUGUGGUUGGUUUUGCUAGCUUCCAUUCCUGGAAUAAGACACAUUUACUCCACGAGAUGGAUCACAUUUGCUGAACUUGUUCUGCUGAGAUUCUGUGGGAGAGUUCUGGGCCUGCUGUCAGGAGUUAGGCUGGCCUGAAGCUGCCUUCUUCUGAACUGUCCUUGGCAGACUUUCUAGUGAGGUAACGUUAGCCUCAGGUAAUGACACAUCACAAUUUUCUGUUUACUGUGAUAGUUUGUAAAAGACUGGAGUUGGUACUUCUGGAAUGUUUAAAGAUGUUUUCAGCCAUCGGGCCCCAUGAUCUGUGUAGGGCUUUGGAAUAUCUGUGUAUCUAGGCCUCCUGGCUACUCUUCCUUAUCCCAGAUCUCAUCAGCGAUGUCCUAGGCAGGGCAGACUGCUAUGGUUGGACCUGGGGCGUCAACACAGCUUUGCAGAUAGAGGAGGAAGGAGCUCUUUUAUCCUUGCCAGGUAUAAAUAAAUCCCUCUUUUAAAAUAUUCUAAUUUUAAUAAAUAGAAAUUGCUCCCUUACCAGCUGCAUGGCAGGUUUCAGGAAGCCUGCUGCCUUGCUCUGGGAGGCAGGCUGCAUCUGCACCAGCG
rnacentral:lncRNA from 1 species